ensembl:lncRNA
UCUGCCCCGCCAGAGGGCAGCCGCGGGGCCUCCUGGGAGAUGCAGUUCCCGCGCGCUUCCAGCGGCCUGCGCGCGAGCAGGUGCCAACGGUGCCAACGACACCAACGGUGCCCAAGGAGCCAGAGGGGCUGGCAACCGAAAGGAGAGAGGCCACGUCCUGCUGAGCCGCCGAGGGAUCAGGCUAGCCCGAGGUGGGGCUCGCAGCACUGCCUCUCCAGAGCCCCUGGCCACCAUGGCAGUGGUUUACCGUUGGGCCAGCUGCCAGUCACUGGGCAGCACCUUAGCUGCUGUAUUCACCAUGCUGAGAGAGGCGGCUUACAUCCUGCCCAGAGAAGCAGGACGCCCACAGAGGCAUGCCCACCCUCACUAAGCUUUGCCUUGGCUCAAGACCCAGCUGCACGAGUGCCCUUGUCCCUGGGAGCUCUUUUGAAGGCCUGGUUGUCCCUGUGCUCUGCAAGAGCAGACAAGAUGUGGGUCUUUCUGGGGACCCGGUCAGUCCUGAACUGGGAGGAGAAGACUGGAGUCUGGGCAUCCAGCUUAGGGGUGCUGUGAAGAAACCACUGGGGACAGCCUGUGUCCCUUUGUGACCAGGAGGAGUUUCAGCAGGAAAUUCAGCCUAGUCCUGGGGGGGGGGGCACAGCCUCUGCCUUAAGGAUGUAAUUUCAAAGGGGAUGAUACUUCCCAAGCAUCAGUGUGUCAGACACAAGGCCAGGACCGAGGAAUGAGCAUGGUGAGAGUUGAGGAAAAGCUGAGAUGUCCUCCAACAGGCAGGCCCCAAGGAAGGCUGCCUGAAGGGGGCAGCCCAUGAGCCCUGCAGGACAUGGAGGGCUCAAGGGUGGCGGAGGGCUCAAGGGGGUAGUGGAGGGGACUGGGUUUGCCUUUCAGAACCCAGUGGUCUGAUUUCCACAGAAAAUUCCUAUAGUAAUUUGGUAAAGCUCCUGUCCUCCAAACAUGGAAGGGAAAUGGGGAUGUGGGAAGGGUAGCAAGUAGGGCUCAGCUGAUGCUGUCUUCUGUGGCUCCACUGGCUCUCCUCUUCUCCUUUCCCGCUGGGUGCAGAGCCUGCUCAUUCUGCACCUUGAUCCUGUAAGGCUUCCUGGUAGCAGCUUCCUUAGAGCUGGAGGGUCAGGCAGACUCCGUCCCAUCCAGCCACACUCUCAGGGGUUCCAGGGGCAGUGCCAGAGCAAAGGGGAUGUGGUGCUUGCAUACCCUCAAGGGUUCGCCCUGUGGAAGAAAAUCAGCCAGCAAUGUCUGUUGCUGUGUAACAAACUACCCCACAAUUUAGUAGCUGAAACAUAUUACAGGUUCGGUGGUUUAGGAAUCCAAGUGGUUUAGUGGUGUCUCUGCCUGGAGGGUGGGGUCUCACAGGCCACAGUCUUCAUGUGCUCAGGCUAUGGUCUCAUGUGAAGGUUCAGUCAAGAGGAGAUGCUGUCACUCACACACAGGUGCAGUUGACAAGAUUCAGUUCCUCUCUAGCAAAUUGACAAAGGCCCUCGUUUUCUGCUUUUUGGCUAGAGGUCUCACUUAGUUCUUAGCAUGGGCUUAUUGACAGUAUCCACAGUGCACCUCCCAUGUGACAGGUACUUCCCACCUGAUCAAAGCAAGAGAGAAAAUAAGGAAGUGGCCUCUUUGUCAUCCAUCUGACUUGAUAAGGAACAUUCUGGGAUGUUCUGCUAUUUGUGGGAGUUCAAGCCCAUACUGGGGUACAUGAACCAGGAAGGGAGAUGUUGACGACCACCUCAUGGUUCAUCUCCACAACUUACCAUGAUACCAGACUCCUCGGCUGUCUUGGGGACACAAUGCUGUGUUCAGUAUCUUGUUACCCUAUUGUCUGACUUUUUAAACACUGAAGGCCUGUUACAUCCCGAGAUAUGACCAAGGAGUAAUAGGCACAUGCUUGAUUGAGCCAUCUAUGGUCUCCGUUGACCCCUUUUCAAGGCAGUUAAUUUCCUUGAAUUUCCCAGUCUGAGUGAUGUACAGCAUCUAAGGCUAGGUUGCCCCUCAAACAGCAAGCUUAGGCCCUCAGCUGAUACCUCAGAUGUCCCUUAGGACCAGUCUACUAACUGGGGGAGCCGAUGGAUAAGCAUGGGGGGAAGUCAGCCUUGGUACCCUUGCCUGUAUCCACAGGAGCCACACAGAUAAGGCUUGAAGCACAGCAGAGCCCAUAUCUCAGUAGAGAACCUUUUAACCCUCCUAGACAAGAGCAGGUACACGCACCUCCCCGUGGUCUUGAGCUCUAAGACUUUAAUGAGGUCCACAAAUCCUCUCAACUUGCCCCAGAGCCAUUAGUUCUGCAACAGGGUGUUCCAUCUCAGCAUGGCAAUCUUUGGUGACUUUUUAGUGUUUCCCACCGCCUGGUUCAUGAAGAGCUGGUACCCUUGGCUGUUUUGUCUAUAGAAGUAAUAAACUCAAUCUAUAAAGGACUGUUUGUACCGGGAUGGAAUCUAGGUUGUUACACAUAAGAAACAGUAUCCACUGUGGCCUUGUUACAACCCUACCCUGUGUGCAUAUCUCUUCAGCUCCAGCCUUGCCCUGUGCUUGACAAAAUGGAAACCGAUCAGUCUGAGGAAUAAGAGGACCUUGAUUUUACCUCCUCUUGCUCAGUGUCAAAUUCCUUUCUCCUCCUGCUCCUUUGGAUGUUUGAACCAGAAUCACCCUGGCCAGCCAUAGAUUCAGUAGACUGAAAGGAACCCACCUGGGGCCUGGCCAGCCCUCGAAUAGGCCAGUAUUUGGGGAUGACCAUGGAACUGUCUUCUGUUCCUCACACAACAAAGUUGGCAUUACUUGUAUGUUUAUAACAGAAUGUACCAUUCUGUGUUUGCAAGACCUAGCCACUCCAUAUCUGUUCAGCCCAAGCACUGAAACACAGUAAUCACUUGUUGCUAGAAAUGUAAAAUAGGAUAGCUAUUGUGGAAAAUUCAGAGAUGUCUUACCAUGUGACCCUGUGUGGCAUAUAUGAGAGCACAGGGCACAGCUGGGCCCACAAGCAGAACAGCAUCCCAAAGGUGGGGACAACUUUGGUAACCCAUGGAGGAGAAUGAAGCUCAAACUUAUGUGCACAUGAAUGACUAUUGAAAAAAACUAGAUGAAAUGCAGAAUAUCAUGGGAUUCCACUUACAUGAAGUGCCCCAAAGGCAAAUUCACAGAAACAAGAGGAAUAGGGAAAAAUGUCUCAAAUCAAUGGAGGUAACCCAGAGCAGUUGUAGGAAAUGGGGUAUGACUAUGGCCAAGAUACAAUUCUAUUCAUACCUGAAAUUAGUGGUAUGUCACCACCCUAGAGGUGGUGGGACCCGGAGAAUAGAGACAAUAAACGAGGCAAACUAAAGUCUCAGGCACUAGCUAAUUUUAUGCAUAGCAUCAAUUUAUUCUGAUGAAGAAUCACAUGGGUAAAGUGUACAAUCACAAGCUGCACUUGACAAAAAUGUGGUUUUCCAUAGAGGCCUAUAAAGCAUUUAAUUGAAUAACAGGUGCAAGCAAUGAGUAUUCUGAACCUCAUUUCUAUCCACCACACCUGGCAGGAGCACAAAAACACAUUCCAAGAAGUCUGUGUUUUGAAAAAACUGAGCACUCCAAAUUCCCACAGGAUUCCAUUCUUGGACUGUGUUCCUACAGUGGUGGCUUGAGACAUGAAUGUGCUUGGCAUGAUUGCUUACUUCAAUGUGACUGAACUUGUAACCUUUUGGGGGGCACAGUGUCAAGAUUUUUCUGUUUAGCUCUGGCCACCCUAGAACUCGCUUUGUAACCAGGCUGGCCUCAAACACAGAUCUGCCUGCCUCUGCCUCCCAGUUCUGGGAUUAAAGGCAUGCGCCACCACUGCCCAGCUAAACUUGUAACCUACGAUGUGUAUUUGAUCACAGUUUACCAGUGGAGAUGGUGGCACAUUUAUAAUCCCAGCACUUGGAAGACUGAGGCAGGAGAAUCACUCCACCUUUCAGGCCACCCUGGUCUGCGUGGUAAAUUUCCACCUGGGUCACACAGCAGGACUUGAUCUCAACAAAACAAAAGUCAACUAAGAGUAUUGAGUUAAUAUAGCUCAAUAUAAUAAAGAUAGCUUUUGACCCAAUGAUCCAAUCUCUGAGCAUUUUCCUAUAGAAAUGAAAAUCUGUGCUCAUCAGAUAGAUAGGAAUGUUCACAGCAUUGUGGGCAACAGCUCUAAACAAGCCCAAACCUAUGUGUUCACUAGGAGAGUUAGACAAGGAGAGGCAUAUCUAAAUGAGUAGACUACAGUCUUAACAAUGUGGAGGAAAGUCACAAAGAUGACAUUGAAAGAGGGCUGGAGAGAUGGCUCAGAGGUUAUAAGCACUGACUGCUCUUCCAGAGGUCCUGAGUUCAAUUCCCAGCGACCACAUGGUGGCUCACAACCAUCUGUAAUGAGAUCUGGUGCCCUCUUCUGGUCUGCAGGGAUACAUGCAGACAGAAUACUGUACACGUAAUAAAAUUUUUUUCAAAAAAGACAUUGGAAGUCAUUCUGUGUUUUCUGUCUUGUAUUAUUCCACCCAUGCAGUUUAAGCAGGCAAAUUCCACGGCAGAGUGCUAUCCAUGAUCAUCUCCUGAGGUCAUGACUGAAAUGGCUUCUAUAAUGUGCAAAGUGCUCUGCAUUUUUUUUUUUUUUUUGUGGAUCUUUGUUAUACAACUGUGCCUGCUUGUGAAAGUCACUCAGCUUUAUAAUUCAUGCACUUUUUUUUUUGUAAUUUGACUUCAAAGUUUACUAACCACACCACUGUUAGAAUGUUCAAAUCCAGAAUACUGAGAACAGAUGCUGGCACAGAUAAAGAGAGCAGGCACUCUCCUUCCCUGGUGGUGGGAAUGUAAAAUGCAGCAGCCAUGUUGGAACACACUGGUAAUUUCUUCUGAAACUAGAUAUACUUUCACUAUAUAAUCCAACAGAUGCACUCUGGUUGUCUGGUCAAAGAAGCAGAAAACAUAAGUCCACACAAAUGUCUGCACAUGGACAGUGUGACGAUUGACAUUGGUGAUCAACUUGACUGGAUUAAGAGAUGUUCACAAAAUUAGUAAAACACAUCUUGUUCUGAAACAGAUCAUGAUGCUCUGACCUAAUGAAUGCUUUAGCCCAUUAGUAGCUUUGGCAUUUUGAUAGACUGUUAGCAGGGGAUGGGGAGGUGGAAAGUGGAAACUAGAAGACGUAAGUCACUGAGGGCUUCUUUGGGAUUCUAUCUUUCCCUGCUCCUUUCCUGCUGCUGUUCCAUGCUGCUGUUCACCAUGAAGUGAAGAACCUCCCCUGCCACAUACUCCCAUUGCCAUGACUUCCUUUUGCCCAAGCAGAACUAAAGGAAGGACAUGCAGUAGAGAAAAUGGAAUUUGUCAGGGACUUGAGGUGCUCUUAUUACCCAUAAACUAUUCUAGGGACUUACGGAGCCCAGAGAUCUAGAGACGAUAGGAAAAUUAAUAAGUAAUGCCCAAAGGAGUAGUAAUCCAAGCCUGAUGUGGAUGAGAUUAUGAAAGGAAGGAGAAGAGAACUUAAGAUCAAGUCAGAACUCAAACUGCCAGGAGUGGUGACACACCUAUAAUCCUAGCACUGGGGAGGUAGAGGCGUUGUGAGUUCGAGACCAGUCCGGUCUACCUAGCAAGUUGCCUCCACCAAAGAAGAUAAUUCCAUUAAAUAACAGCCAGACAGAAGUUGAGCUGUAAAUGAGGUGUGGAUGGGGUAGUGAAUAGGAGUUAAAACCUGGAGAGACAU